AUUCCCCUAGUAACUGCGAGUGAAGCGGGAAAAGCUCAAAUUUAAAAUCUGGUGGCCUUUGUCCAUCCGAGUUGUAAUUUAGAGAAGCGUUUUCCGCGCUGGACCGUGCACAAGUCUCCUGGAAUGGAGCGUCAUAGAGGGUGAGAAUCCCGUCUUUGGCACGGACACCGGGGCUUUUGUGAUGCGCUCUCAAAGAGUCGAGUUGUUUGGGAAUGCAGCUCAAAAUGGGUGGUGAACUCCAUCUAAAGCUAAAUAUUGGCGAGAGACCGAUAGCGAACAAGUACCGUGAGGGAAAGAUGAAAAGCACUUUGGAAAGAGAGUGAAACAGUACGUGAAAUUGUUGAAAGGGAAACGCUUGAAGUCAGUCGCGUCGCCCGAGACUCAGCCUUGCCUUGGCUUGGUGUACUUCUCGGCUGACGGGUCAGCAUCAAUUUUGCCCCUUGGAUAAUGGUGAGGGAAAUGUGACACCUUUAUAGGUGUGUUAUAGUCUCUCGUCGCAUGCAAGGGUCGGGAUUGAGGAACUCAGCACGCGCCCUCGGGCGUCGGGGUUCGCCCACGAUACGUGCUUAGGAUGUUGGCGUAAUGGCUUUAAACGACCCGUCUUGAAACACGGACCAAGGAGUCUAACAUGCCCGCGAGUGUUCGGGUGGAAAACCCGUGCGCGCAAUGAAAGUGAAAGUUGGGACCUCUGUCGUGGAGGGCACCAACGCCCGGACCAGACCUUCUGUGACGGAUCUGCGGUAGAGCGUGUAUGUUAGGACCCGAAAGAUGGUGAACUAUGCCUGAAUAGGGUGAAGCCAGAGGAAACUCUGGUGGAGGCUCGUAGCGAUUCUGACGUGCAAAUCGAUCGUCAAAUUUGGGUAUAGGGGCGAAAGAC
rnacentral:rRNA from 1 species